AAACCUGUGUCAAAAAUUUCAUGAUUUCUAUUCACUUUUACUAAAGUUAGAGUGCGAAAACUAAAAGUAUUCGGACGACGACGACGACGCAGACGACGACGCCAACGUGAUAGCAAUAUACGACAAAAAAUUAAAAUUUUUGUGGUUGUAUAAAAACAUACAAUAAUGCCAUUCUGUAACCAAUUUUACUUUAUCAAUUUUUUUAUAUUUUUUACAGAAUAAAAAUAUAAUUAUGAGUUUGAAAAUAUUAACAAUUUAACACAAAUUUUAAUUUCUGCCAUUACAAAUUACUGUACUCUUCUCUGAUAUACUUUGUAAAUGUGAACACAUGGUAACAGAGAAAAUGUCAAAUGAGAUCAUAGUCCUUAAAUGUACAAAUAUAAAACAAAAUAUUUCGUGCAUUCAAAUAAUAAAGAUUUAUACCACGUUCAACAAGCAGAAUUAUGAAAGUUAAAAUCAUUUCAGUUUAAGGAUGUUUGUUAUUCUGAAACAACAUUUCAUAAAUAAGUUUUGUUUGAACAGAAAAUGCACAAUAAAUCAAUAAAGAGAAUCAUAAAUACACAUGUAGAAAAGUCCAGGUUUAUUAAUACAAAAAAAAUAUGAAAAAUCUUGAUUUUUAGACAGGAGAUAUAUUUGCAGAAAUAAAAAGUUAACUAUAUAAAAAUUCUAAUAGAAAAAUAAGAAUUAGAAAUAUUUAGUUCUUUAACAAAUUAUUUGAGUUCUAUGUUUAAACGAAAAAUUUGACAAAUUUGGCUAGGAAAACUUCUUAGGAGAAUACAUUAAUAAGGAAAUGUUAAAAAGUAUAACAUCACCAAUCCUGGUGAAAUUUUCAAUCAUUUUUGGCAGGUAAGAGACAGUUUUUCUACUUUGGAUUUAUCAUAAAAGAACAAUAAAUUUGUGGUGAUACAAAGCCAGGGUCUGUGACAAGCAUUAGGUGUAUGGCACAAAUUACUUGUUGUACAAAUGUCUAUUAUAUAUAGUUAUUGUCAGUUUUACACACUAAUUAAUUCAGUUUCAGUAUUGGCAGUUCUGAGGAUUUAUUAUUUUUCUAGUGAUUCUAAUUUUCAUGGGUAAAGGCAAACAUCAAUUAAGUUCUCAUCAAAAAACAACAUAUCAGUUGCUUGGAUCAAAUUACAAAAUCAGGAAGAAAGUAUCCUUGAAAAUGCAACAUUUUGUUAAAUUAUAAAGUAGUAUCAACAAAAAUAUAGUAUGCGACUGAAUUAUUUUUAUCUGUUAUAAAUCUUAUGUAUAACUGUACAAAAUUUUGUUCUGAACAGGAUAAACACUAAAAACUAUCAACCAGGACAGGCAAAGGGACAUAACCCCAUAAAGAAUCAUGUAAUACAAUGAGAGAUGAAUUCUCUUUAAUGCGGUUAUAAGUCAGUCAUUAAUGACGAAUAUUUUUGGUAUGUAAUGGUACAUAUCAUUAAACAUAUAAUGCCAUUUAAAACAUUUUUUUUAAAGCCUGUAAAAAUAUCCUUAGUGAUAUGUAUCAAAAUAUCAAAGUGACAAGUUCAAAAUAGGCCAUUUUCCAGUUAUAAAUAUAAGUUAAAGAAACUUUUUUCAUGUUUUAGUGAAUAAUAUUAAUACAAGUAAAUUUGUUUAGCUUGUUAAUCAAUGCCAUCAUUUCUAAAAUCAAAGAGCUGAAUAGCUCUGAGGGGAAAGACGGCCCUUGUUUCUAUUUAAUUAUUUUUUUUGGAAGGGGGGGUAUCUUUUGAUAGUCUUCAUAUAAAGAAUGGAAAAAAGAACAGCUAGAACAUGUAGAAAGGUUGACGAUAUUGAAAUCAAUUGUUGUUUAAUGUAAUUUCGUUUCCUUAGUUUAGGAUUCAAUUUGGACCAAUGGAAGAGAUCUGCAUCUUCUAAAUCUAAACAUAUGAUUAAAGUUGAUAUUUAAUUAUCUAAAUUUCAACUGAAUUCUGUCAUUUCACAACAACUACAAUAUUUUUUGAAAUCUUAAUUGUGUACCACUGAACUGCAGGCUAGGGCCAUUUUCCAUUUUUUGUGACAGUACUCUUAGAUUUUAAGUUUUUUUUAAGAAAG
rnacentral:lncRNA from 1 species